CUAAAGCUGCUGAGCUUCCUUUUAUUGCUACUUCUGUAGACUUUCGACGGCAAGGAAUGUGCCGAAUUCUAAUGAGCAUCAUUGAAAAGAUGCUCUGUUCAUUUAAUGUUAAGAUGUUGGUCCUUUCUGCCAUCCCAGAGUUGGUUAGCACAUGGGUGUCAGGAUUUGGCUUCAAACCUAUCGAAGAUGCUGAAAGGAAACAACUUCAUAAUGUAAACUUGAUGUUGUUUCCUGGAACAUCCUUACUAACAAAGAGAUUGGAUGGAUUUAUUAUGGCCACAAAACCAGGUUCACUACCUGUUUGCUUACCACUAGCCACAUUUGUGCCUUGUGGUUUAUAGAUUUGGGCAUACCAUGACAUCCUUCCAUUUGUUUGCAUGCCCAUAAUUCUACUAAUUUUGAAACUAUGCAGGCGCGGAAAAGGAUAUACAUGAAGUUUCUGGAGUACCUAAUCUUAAGCGUAUGCCUAAUGGGAAAGCAAGUGAGCAUUUCAAACUCCAUGACCUUGAUUUGUCCGGGACAGAGUUUAAAGCUGAGGUUUCCGUGAAUGGUCCAUUCAGAACACUGAAACAUGAAUGUGGUUCAGCAGCAUGGUUUCAGUCUACUAAGUUAGCUGUUGGGGAAGUGUGAUAUUCUUACACAAAUUAUCUGGGCUCAUGGCUCAAAUUAAUUUGCAGCAGCAAAAUCAUUCGAACACUUGCUGCUGCAUGCACUCAUCCUUUUCAAGUAAAGUUCUCACAAG